GCGGAUGUGGCGAAAUUGGUAGACGCACUAGACUUAGGAUCUAGCGCCGUGAGGCAUGGGGUUCGAGCCCCUCUAUCCGCA
rnacentral:tRNA from 1 species